rnacentral:rRNA from 1 species
GAUGAACGCUGGCGGCGUGCUUAACACAUGCAAGUCGAACGAUGAAGCCCAGCUUGCUGGGUGGUUUAGUGGCGAACGGGUGAGUAACACGUGAGCAAUCUGCCCCUGACUCUGGGAUAAGCGCUGGAAACGGCGUCUAAUACUGGAUACGAGCUGCGAAGGCAUCUUCAGCAGCUGGAAAGAACUUCGGUCAGGGAUGAGCUCGCGGCCUAUCAGCUUGUUGGUGAGGUAACGGCUCACCAAGGCGUCGACGGGUAGCCGGCCUGAGAGGGUGACCGGCCACACUGGGACUGAGACACGGCCCAGACUCCUACGGGAGGCAGCAGUGGGGAAUAUUGCACAAUGGGCGAAAGCCUGAUGCAGCAACGCCGCGUGAGGGACGACGGCCUUCGGGUUGUAAACCUCUUUUAGCAGGGAAGAAGCGAAAGUGACGGUACCUGCAGAAAAAGCGCCGGCUAACUACGUG